CACAAAUUAAUUAAAAUAAAUGAUAAAUCACAAACUAAAACUGCAUUCCAGUCAGCAAUGCAAAAAGGAAAUAAAAAUGAAAUAAAUAUUGAACAAUUUGCACAUACCGAAAAUCAGUGUACUGCAGCAUUUCCAACAGAAAUAGAUGAGGAAGAAUCUAUAAGAUAUAUUGAAACGCUCGUCGAUGAUGAUUUUCAAUUACAUAAAUGUAACAUAGGAUUUGACGAUAAAGUUUCAUCUGUGACUGAAGAGUUUGCACUUGAUGCCACUAAACAAUGGGUUCUGAAAUAUAGACAUUUAUUAAGCCAACGGGCCAUUAACGAUAUGUUGCAAAUUUUACGAGUGCCAUAUCCAAAGUUUCCUGCAGACUCGCGUAUUCUUUUAAAAACACCAAAUUCGUGCCCCUAUGAAAUAAUUAAUAUGCCCCCCGGUUUCUACUGUCACAUCGGUAUAGAGAAUACAAUUCGUAGACUCAUCAAUGACAGUAUUAAUAUGCACAAUUUCUUAUUUCAAAAUUCAGAACCAGUGUUACCCAUUAGUAUAAACAUAGACGGAUUACCUAUUUCAAACAGUUCAAAAAGUCAAUUUUGGCCAAUUUUGAUUUCUCUAGAUGUAGAUUCAGUUAGUCAAAAUGCGUCAAAACCUUUUGUAGCUGGAAUUUACCACGGGCACACAAAACCAGCUGAUGUUAAUCAAUUUUUAAGUGAAUUUAUUACAGAAUUUAAACAUUUGCAAGAUAAUGGAUUUAACAUAUGCAAUAAAACUGUUAAAAUAAAGGCCAGUAAAUUACUUUGCGAUGCUCCUGCUAAAUCAUUCGUUUUAUGUACGAAAGGUCACACGGGAUUUUACAGUUGCACAAAAUGUACUCAAAGUGGUACCUUUAUUAAUAACCGACUAGCUUUCCCAGAUAUCAAUGUAGACUUACGAACUGAUGCAAGUUUUAAAAACAAAUUAGAUGAUGAAUUUCAUAAAGGUACAACUCCUCUUGAAAAUAUUAACAUCGGGUUAGUUUCGCAAAUACCCCUUGAUGGUAUGCAUCUGGUAUUUCUCGGUGUAAUGAAAAAACUGAUAACGUUUUGGGUACGAGGACCAAAAAACAUUCGCUUCACUGACGAUGAGAAAAAAGCCAUUAACGAUCAAAUAUUAUUUUUAAAGAAUUAUGUACCUAAAGAUUUUGGCCGCUUACCAAGAAGUUUAGAUGACAUAGAGUACUUUAAAGCUGCUGAACUAAGACAAUUGUUGUUGUACAUUGGACCGAUCGUUUUACAAAAUAUGAGAAACAAGAACAUGUAUACACAUUUUAUGACAUUAUCAUGCGCUAUUCGCAUUUUAUGUAGUCCUGCAUUAUAUUCAGUUUAUAAUGAUUAUGCUUUGCAACUUAUUCAGUAUUUUGUUCAAAAAUAUUCAGUUCUUUAUGGUCCUGAGUUCAUCAAUCACAACGUACACGGCCUCAUUCAUUUACCUGCAGACUGCUUGUUGCACGGUCCACUUGAUACAUUUAGUUGUUUCAAAUAUGAAAAUUUUCUGUACGAAAUAAAACGAAAAAUUAAAACAACAAAACACUCCUUACAACAAACUUGUAACAGACUAAAGGAAGAAGAGCAGAAAAAGAAACAGGACGACAAGACUUAUCCGAUUUUACAUCAACAAAGUAAAGUGCAAAUUAUUGAUAAGGAAAGAUGUAUAUUCUACAAAAAAGUGGAUAUUGGAAAGUAUGAAUUCAGCACAGAAAAUAAAGAAAAUUGCGUCAUGCUUAGAGACAAGGCUGUACUAUGCGUAGACGGUAUUUUCCAAAACACUAACACACUGGAAAUGUUCAUAACGGGAAGAAAGUUUACAGAAUCAACAACGUUUUUUAAGUCACCCUGUUCUUCUGAACUAUUUAAUGUAGAACAGUCGAAUUUGCGGAGAAUUUCGAAGAAUCGACUGCAGUAGAAGUCGUCCCGACAACAUGGGUAACAAUUUUAAACAACGAAAUUACAUGCAAAUGGCCUGGGAAAAACAUCCGCAGGGCAAUCAACAAACGAACAGCCCCAUUAAGUUCUUGGAAAACUUGGAAUAUAAGAAACAUCUUUUUCCAAACUGAUGAAUAUCAGACUGCCGUAGAUUUCGCAAAAAGAAAAACAAAAACUGAUACAGAUACGUCAGUGCCAGAAACUGGCCGAAGCAAAAGGAGAGUAAAAAAGAAGAGCCAAAAUGAUUACACAAGCGACUUCAGCGAUAAUUCCCAAAAUCAUAGAAUGACACCACCUCCGAUGCUGUCUACCGUAUUUGAUCCUGCAAUCGAACGUAGACAAUCAAGUGAAGUUCUACAGACUACAAGAAAUCUGCCAGCAGAUAUUGACAACAUUUUUCCAACCGUCAAUAAAAAAAUAAAUAGUAAUAGGUGAUAUAGACUCAAACAAUAACGAUAAUAAAGAAAAUCAGAUAGAUCAAACGGAUGAUAUAGGGGU